rnacentral:rRNA from 1 species
GUGUCAGCCGCCGCGGUAAUACGGAGGGUGCGAGCGUUAAUCGGAAUUACUGGGCGUAAAGCGCACGUAGGCGGUCGGAUAAGUCGGAUGUGAAAGCCCUGGGCUUAACCUGGGAACUGCAUUCGAUACUGUCUGGCUAGAGUAUGGGAGAGGGAAGCAGAAUUUCCGGUGUAGCGGUGAAAUGCGUAGAUAUCGGAAGGAAUACCAAUGGCGAAGGCAGCUUCCUGGCCCAAUACUGACGCUCAGGUGCGAAAGCGUGGGGAUCAAACAGGAUUAGAUACCCUCGUAGUCC